UACGAAGGGGGCUAGCGUUGCUCGGAAUCACUGGGCGUAAAGCGCACGUAGGCGGAUUGUUAAGUCAGGGGUGAAAUCCUGGAGCUCAACUCCAGAACUGCCUUUGAUACUGGCGAUCUCGAGUCCGGGAGAGGUGAGUGGAACUGCGAGUGUAGAGGUGAAAUUCGUAGAUAUUCGCAAGAACACCAGUGGCGAAGGCGGCUCGCUGGGACGUUACUGACGCUGAGACGCGAAAGCGUGGGGAGCAAACAGGGAUUAA
rnacentral:rRNA from 1 species